rnacentral:lncRNA from 9 species
CUGGAAUUGUCCCAGUGACCUUGGGCAAGCCACCUUUCUCUGAGUCUCUGUUUCUUUAAUUGGAGGCUGAGGGAAAGCUUCCAGAAUCCCUCCCUUGCAGAGUUGUGGAAUGAAAGGAGAGGACAGAAAAGAAGGUGUCUGCUUCCUCCUGACAGGCGCUGUAGGGGACAGUGGUCAAGGUCUGAGUGCGACCUGGCUGGGCCACGUGCGUCCCAAACGAGUGUGUGCCUGCGCGCAGUCAGCAUCUGCCCCCAAGCACGGGGCCCAUUUCCAGGCUUAGGACACACAGCUGCGGGUGGGUCACUGUGCGUGUGCAAGCGUGUGGACAUGGUGUGGGCAUGCCUGCAGCCUGUCUGUGUGCACGGCUUGUGUGGACACCUCGGGGGUGCCCAUGGCCCUGUGUGAACACACUCCCCCCCCACUCAUCCCCAUGGCAACCCGAGGUGCAGCACAGGUGUCUAGGAGACCUGAAUUGGUGCUGACAGGUGGGGGCACGUGGUGGGCUCCCCAGAGCCGGCUGGACCAAUCAGGGCCCCUGGGUGGAGGCUCCAGGAAGAUGUCAGGACCGGCUGGAGCUGGCGCACACCGAGGCCGAUGGGGAGGGAGGCCGCGGUCCCGGCAGGACGCAGGUGGACGGCGAGAGGCCGCUGGCUGUGAGCGAGGCGCUCCCGCAGCCCCCGCACGGUGCGGCCAUGCGGUUUGGGACAGGACACCCCUGAGAGCGCCGACGCCCCCUCCUCCCGCCCCUCUGUCCCUUCAGGGGCUGCUGCCGCCCAGCGCCCCCCCCUGCCCCCGACCCCGUCCCCCCGGGCAGGCUGAGCGGGGG